UUCCAGGGCAGCCCACAGAGUUCUGAGCAUGUGCUGGCAGUUGCUCUGUAGAGUGCCCAGUUCACUUCUCCCAUGUAGUUCCUAAGUGCAGGACUCUACUGAAGGGGCUUAUAAAUGAAUCUUGUCCCAAUCGUUCCCAGAAGCCAUGACAUGUCCCUGCAGCUGGAGGCCUUUCAAGGGUAGCAUAGGAGGCCUCACAGGCCCUGUGGCCUGUAAAGGAAGUGAAAAACUGUUCUCAAGGAAAGAUCCAAAGGGUUCAAAGGUGAAGGGUGCCAUCUGCUUCUUCACUGAUUCAGAAGAUAAGGAGAAGAAGUGUCCCAUUUCACCCAUAUUCCUGACCCCGAUUUUCAAGUCUUCCUAACCCAAAGCUCUUCCAUUGGCCAUCAUGGAGUUAGCUAACAGCCCAGGGAACCGGUCUCUUUCCCUUUUCCCCUUAUCACCAGGCACUCAACUGGAAAUGGCAAUCAGAUGGCUCUAUAUCAGACCCCACCACCUGGUCUUUGAAGUUUCUGUCCUACAAGUGCCACAGCUCCCCUCCCCCACUUCUGCGCUACUCCCAAGAGAGACCCAUCCUCAGCAGCCUAGUAUGUGAUGCUAGUCCUGGAAUGCGGUAUUCUGGAUGUCUACUGAAGGCCAAACUCCAAUUAUUGACUUUUUUCCCUUUAUUCAAGACCAAUGCUAGGUUCUUUUCAUUGUCUCCAUUUCUCUUUCUCUAGAGCUCCUGGAGGGCAAGACACUGUUUCUCAUACAUUUCUGGAUCCUUGGAGCUUAGUUCAGAGCUUGGCAUAGAUGCUCAGCAUGAGCUUUCCUGAAUAAAGUAAUUUCAAAUGCCACAUAC